UACAGAGGGUGCGAGCGUUGUCCGGAAUCACUGGGCGUAAAGGGCGCGUAGGCGGCUUGAUAAGCGUGCGGUGAAAGCCCGGGGCUCAACCCCGGGUCGGCCGUGCGAACUGUCGAGCUGGAGCACUGUAGAGGCAGGUGGAAUUCCGGGUGUAGCGGUGGAAUGCGUAGAGAUGCGGAGGAACACCGAUGGCGAAGGCAGCCCCCUGGGUCAAAACUGACGCUCAUGCACGAAAGCGUGGGGAGCAAACAGG
rnacentral:rRNA from 1 species